ACCUUCCUUCCCCUGCUCGAUCUCUUCGCACGCGAGCCACCAGGCGGCCGGAGCUGUUGCCAUCGCCUGAUUGGCGAUCGCACGUGCGUGCGGCGGCGCGGAUGGAGCAGCAAAUCCAUCCCUCGCCCCCUUUGAUUCUGAUCCCUGCAGUCCGCAACGGGCAUCAGGCAUCGAUGCAAUCUCCAAGCCACAGCCCACAGAUUCAGGGACAUGGUUUUCUUUUCGUACUGUCCAGCAGGCUGCAGUACAAAGGUACAAGACUAAUUAAGGGUGAAGACAUCAUCACUCAUUUUCAAAGCAUCGGGAAUCACUUAUUUUGGAACGGAGGGAGUAAUUUGAGUCUUGGUUUCGGUGGUGGUGAAUCGUGAUCUGGCCUUGCCGGAGAUUUGUAGAUUGAACCGGACAGGAACAAAGAGACGACGAGCAAAGCCUAAAAGCAGAAAUGAGAAUAUAAUUGAGGAGAGCAAUGUUACCACCAAUAUUGGUCAUGAUGCCAUUGGCUGCAAGAGACCAAAAAGAGAAGUUGCCCGUUCGAAUUUCAGUGAGAAGGCAUUUGAAUUAUCUGAAGAAGAUUCACUUGUCACACCCAAGAAAAUCAGAAUUGAGGAGGAAACGGAGGCAGUUAUGUUGACAAGAACAGGAAUCAAUUAUGUACUGCACGCACACAUGUUCAAUCGAUAGCUUGUCAUGCAAUUACGAUCUUAUGUCUUUUGCAUUUUACUUAGGAUCUUGCAUUCCCUCACAA